rnacentral:sRNA from 1 species
GGCCCUGUGAGAUACUCUGGGAUGGAACAGUGGGAAAAAUGAGAGGAGAAAAGAGCACUUGUCAAGUUCAGGCACUAAUUACAUCUAGGACAGCUCCAGAGAAGCGACCUACAAAUGCUCCAACCUUCUCUCACAGACACAGAUGCUUCAAUGGGACCUGCUCCUUCUGAUCUGUUCUGAGAUGGAUCCACAGUUUCCUGGCAGCAGUCAGCAACAACUCCUCAACUUUCCAACAAACACUCAGAGGCUAUUAUGAUGAAAUGCAGCAAGGCGGUCACUAACCUGCCGAAGACAUGUGUUUAUCAGCUGA